AGCAUGUGUACAGGGGCAUAAACGCAGCAAUGAUAGGAUUGGAGAUGUUUGGUUAGCAAAUGAAGACCCUUUGAAUUCAUAUUGCAUGGUACCCAUUCCACGGGUCUCAACUACCCAGGUUUAAGGUAUUCUUCCUUUAGCUAAAACAUGCAUGUGGAACCCUGAGUAUGAUCAACCGUGAGA